ACUUCUCCCAAACUACAAUGACAAUUGUGUAGUUAACCAUAAGUUCCAAACCCCUGAUAAAUCCUUGACCCUCCAAGUUCUCACCCCUCCUCUCUCUAAGCUUCAAUGGAUCCCUCUUCUACCUCCCUCUCACCAUAUUGAACUCCAAACCACCCACACCUAACCAACCAUACCCACUCGCAGAUUACCCACAAAUGGUUUUUCUCAAAACCCUCCGUUCUCGCCAUUUCCACACACUCCUAAACCCCCAAAACCCUCCUCCUUCCCAAUACUUCAAAAACCCUACAACCCAAUUCUUCCACAGAUCCAUUUCGCUUUCCGCACAAUUCAAAUCCGAAUCGAUCAGCAAUCAGCAGACAAAGAAGCCCUUGCACGUUCUGUUCAAGGAAGCCGUUGGAUUAUGCGAAAAAAUUAAACCCAUUGAAGCCCAGAACGAACCCGAAACCAAUGAAUUGAAGAAUAGAUUAAGAAAAUUGGAAGAAGAAGUGAGGAGGUUGAAAGAAAAUAGUAGUGAGAAAGUAAAAGUAGAGAAUUUGAAGAAAAAGAAGAUUGAGAAUGAUGAGUCUAGUUCUAAGAGCUUGUACGCGUUGUUUGCGAAUAAAGGAGGUGAUAGUGAGAAACCUAGGGUGGUGGAGUCUUUGAGGAUGGAGGAUCCAAUUGUGUACAAAGAGCUUUUGCUCGAAUUGGCUCUAUUUGUGAAGCAUUUGUACAAAGAAGGCUGCUCUGUAAUGCUAAUUUCUUGCCCAAUAACAAGUUUGAUAUUACUUGUUUCGAGAACAGCUAUGGCCGUGAUUUUAUUAGGUAUGCCGCGGAGAAGUUUGGCAAGGAUAACCAAGAAAUUGUAAAAUGGUUGUCAGCCAGUGACUUGAAAAAGGUGGCCCUCUUUGGAUGUCCUUCGCUCGGAAGGAAAAAUGUCUUUUCUGCUAAAAGCUUGCGCAAUUUUUUCAGAAUUCAAGGAGACACCGUAUGCAGUAAAUGCGUCUUGAAAUCAUCAUGCAAGUUUGUGAAUCAGAGUGUAUCGAAAGGCAAUAACAACAAUUUGAAUUUGGCUGUUGUAAUGAGGGUUAUAAUUUUGUACACCAUGGAAUCUGUUCCUCCACCGUUGGUAGUGCCUGACGAGAUAGAGGCUUCUGUUAAUGUAUUGCUGAAGGAGGUUCUGAACGUAAGCCAAACUCACGCAUAAAGCUUUUUGACGGUUCCAUAUAUAAAGUGGUCUUUCAGGUGCUUUAAAUCUGGAUUAUUGUUCAGAGUACUUUGUUCCUUGAUAGGUUUGUUGGUUUAUAGACUAGUAAACUGAUUUGCUUUCAUUCUCAGAGUACUGUCAAUAUUCUAAUGCACAAAUCUGGGAGAUGAAGUGUGAUGAUCAAAUGUCUACAUUGUUAAUAGCUCAUGCUGAGAACAAUGCAAAAGAUUGUUGUUACAUUACAUCUUCCGGUGGUGGUUGUUACAUUACAUCUAUGAAUGAUAUUCCGGGGUUUGCUUGCCAAAAAUAUGCGAAAAGGGGCUUCUCUGUUGAAUUGUGGAAGUGUCAUCUUGAAUUGGCUGGUUAGUGAACUUCAUAAAUGCUCUAGUUAUUUAUGUCUUAUCAACAAAAAAUUGGCAUUCAACAAUUGAGUAGAGCUUUUGAGAUGUAUAUUUCAACUUAUUUCUUCAUUAUAUAUGAAUGGCCAUUUUAUCCAUUUUAAAUGUAUAGUGUUGUCGAUGCAUACAAUAAAAUCUGAAGUAUUGGGUACUGAAGUUAAAUUUCA